GGGAGUUUAGCUCAGUUGGUAGAGCGCCUACUUUGCAAGCAGGAUGUCAGCGGUUCGAGUCGGCUAACUUCCA
rnacentral:tRNA from 1 species